rnacentral:rRNA from 1 species
GACGAACGCUGGCGGCGUGCCUAAUACAUGCAAGUCGAACGAGAGCGCCCGGUGCUUGCACUGGUCAAUCUAGUGGCGAACGGGUGAGUAACACGUGGGUAACCUGCCCAUCAGAGGGGGAUAACAUCCGGAAACGGAUGCUAAAACCGCAUAGGUCUUCGAACCGCAUGGUUUGAAGAGGAAAAGAGGCGCAAGCUUCUGCUGAUGGAUGGACCCGCGGUGCAUUAGCUAGUUGGUGAGGUAACGGCUCACCAAGGCCGUGAUGCAUAGCCGACCUGAGAGGGUGAUCGGCCACAUUGGGACUGAGACACGGCCCAAACUCCUACGGGAGGCAGCAGUAGGGAAUCUUCCGCAAUGGACGCAAGUCUGACGGAGCAACGCCGCGUGAGUGAAGAAGGUUUUCGGAUCGUAAAACUCUGUUGUUAGAGAAGAACAAGUGCUAGUAACUGUUAGCGCCUUGACGGUAGCUAACCAGAAAGCCACGGCUAACUACGUG